rnacentral:rRNA from 1 species
AACGAACGCUGGCGGCAGGCUUAACACAUGCAAGUCGAACGGGUGUAGCAAUACAUCAGUGGCAGACGGGUGAGUAACACGUGGGAAGCUUCCUAGGGGUACGGAACAACUCAGGGAAACUUGAGCUAAUACCGUAUACGUCCGUGAGGAGAAAGAUUUAUCGCCCUUAGACGGGCCCGCGUCGGAUUAGCCGGUUGGUGGGGUAACGGCCUACCAAGGCGACGAUCCGUAGCUGAUCUUAGAGGAUGAUCAGCCACACUGGGACUGAGACACGGCCCAGACUCCUACGGGAGGCAGCAGUGGGGAAUCUUGGACAAUGGGCGCAAGCCUGAUCCAGCCAUGCCGCGUGAGUGAAGAAGGUCUUCGGAUUGUAAAGCUCUUUUGCCAGGGACGAUAAUGACGGUACCUGGAGAAUAAGCCCCGGCAAACUUCGUGCCAGCAGCCGCCGUAACAC